ensembl:lincRNA
GGGCGGGUGCCGGGGGACCCGAGGGCGCUGGGGGGCGCGGGCAGAGGGCAGGCUGACUUCGGAGACUGAGAAAGAGACCCAUGGGGCAGAGAAUGCAGAUCUCUGGCCUCACUACACCCGGACAGCCCCGGGGAAAGAAGCGAAAGACCCGCAACUCCAGCAGAGCACGGGCAGGCGCAGGACCACAGCCCACCAGGCGACCCACCUGAUCCCCGGCUGGGCACAGCGUGUCCCCAAGUUUCACUUCCCUUCCUUGAGGAGGGCCUGGCACCCAGCCCGACUCUGGGGCCUCCCUCCGCCACCCCCUUCUCCUCGAGGAGUGCACUUUUUCCACUCAGCUGGGGCCCCGGAAAGGACGAAUGUGGGUCUGAAGGACGAUGACGCCCUGCCGCGGCUGAGGACUGUCCACUGAGGAAAGCAAGUGACAGUCCAGUAGCCCAACAUCCUGGGGCACAAACACUGCUUAAGUACUGGUCCAAGAACAUAGAGUCACCCUGCCUGUGCCCCAGGUCACCUUGCAUAAAAGAGAGCUCAUCACCUUCUAGGACAAUUGUGGGAACUGAACGAGACAAGACACCAAGCAGUGACCACAGGUCCCAGCAGCCAGGGACAGCCCAGUGAGAUGCUAUGCCUUUGUCUCCGCCACUGGCCUCCCAGACUGAAGCGAGACUGCCAUAGUGCUGUCUCACUGGGCUGUGCGACUCUAGGUCAGGCACUUCCCUCUCCAGGUUCUGACUGUUCCCGUGUCUACGGAGAGCUGGGUGCUUAAACCCAGCAAGUCCUUGCUGGGCUGCCUUGGAAGUCACGGGGACUUGGGUCAUUUCCGAUACCCAUGGCAAAAGACAGGGCCUCCCUCAAGGUCACCAGGGACCUGAAAGCUGCAGUCUCCGCCAUCCUCCAGGGCUAUGGGGACGGAAAGGGGGCAGUGACGGAUGCCAGUGCCGAGCUGCACAGACUCUGCGGCUGCCUGGAGCUGCUGCUGCAGGUGACAGCCCCCCUCCCCAAUGUUCUCCCAGGCCUGGUACCCAGGAGGGCUCUCCCAGAUACAAGGGAGGACGGCUGUCUCCCCUGGGUGCUGUGCAAGCCCUCUCUGGCUUCUGACCUCACUCCUGGAAGCUGUCACUACAGCCUGGGAAAGCGGUGGGGCAAAGCUGGGUGCAGAGGGACUAGGUUAUGGGGAUAGCCCCCUUGCUUUGAAGACUAAACCUUCAGACUGGUGCUUCUUGUGACAGAUUACAGCCCAAAUCAUAACUAUUACUAGCUUUUUCAUGAGCGUUUACUAUGUUCCAGACUAAGUCCUUUGUUUGCCCCACUUUAUUUUAACGGCGUUCUGUGUUGUGUUGUGUUUUGAGACAGGGUCUUGCUGUGCAGUCCAGGCUGGUCUUGAACUCACUAUGUAAUCCAGGCAGGCCUCAAACUCACUGUAAUCCUCCUGUCUCAGCCUCCCAAAUUCUGGGAUUACAGGCAUGCAUGACCACUCCCUGAAUAAUCCUCAUUCUAGCUCUGUGAGGUACUUUAUGACCUUCCCCGUGUGCAUACAAGCAUUCUUUCUUCUUCUCCAACUUUAUCACAUUACUGCUACACAUCUGCUGCACUUCAGCCUCACUUUCCUUCAUCUUCCUAGAGUAGUACACCAGACAUACACCUGCCUCAGGGCCUUUGCACUCCCCAUUCCCUCUGCCCAAAAUGUUAUCUCCCCAGAAAUUUGCAUGGCACAAGCUCUCAUUUUCUCCCAGUCUGAAGGAUUUCUCUGGUUGCCCUAAUCUAAAUUUUCAGCAUACAACACACACACACACACACACACAAUUUCUAUUCUCUUCUCUUGCUUUCAUUUUUCUCCAAAGCCAUCAUCACCAUCUAGUACACUAUAUUCAGUAUAUGCUGUAUUAUUUUAUCUGUUCAUUGUCUGUGCUCCCCCCACCAAGACACAAGCUCUAUGAUGUCACUGCCGUGUCCAUGCUUGGAACAGGACCUGGCACCCAGUGAGUGCCCAGUAAGUAAAUGACCAUGAGCAUGACGCUCAGCAAGACCAGGCAGCUUGCUCCUGGUCACACGGCCAG